AUUGAACGCUGGCGGCAGGCCUAACACAUGCAAGUCGAGCGGAUGAAGGGAGCUUGCUCCUGGAUUCAGCGGCGGACGGGUGAGUAAUGCCUAGGAAUCUGCCUGGUAGUGGGGGAUAACGUCCGGAAACGGGCGCUAAUACCGCAUACGUCCUGAGGGAGAAAGAGGGGGAUCUUCGGACCUCACGCUAUCAGAUGAGCCUAGGUCGGAUUAGCUAGUUGGUGGGGUAAAGGCCUACCAAGGCGACGAUCCGUAACUGGUCUGAGAGGAUGAUCAGUCACACUGGAACUAGGACACGGUCCAGACUCCUACGGGAGGCAGCAGUGGGGAAUAUUGGACAAUGGGCGAAAGCCUGAUCCAGCCAUGCCGCGUGUGUGAAGAAGGUCUUCGGAUUGUAAAGCACUUUAAGUUGGGAGGAAGGGCAGUAAGUUAAUACCUUGCUGUUUUGACGUUACCAACAGAAUAAGCACCGGCUAACUUCGUG
rnacentral:rRNA from 1 species